GCUGAACUUGCCAGGACGAGAAGCAUUGGGUUUCAAACGCGGUAACAAAGACAGAAACAAAUUCGCACGUCAGCGAAGACAAAGCCAGGAUCCUGACCGACCCUGGUGCCGCCCUGUAUGGCCCCGUGUGACGUGAUCGCCCCUUCUCUUGGAAUUUCCAUGGCUUGUUAAGAGAAGUCAUCCAAGUAUGAAGCAGAGAAGGGAGAACAGCUUUC